AACCAGCACGAUUAUCUUCAGCGUCAAUGUCAUCACUGAAAAUGCCAUAGUUCGUACCUCUACCUGGAGCUUUCAUUGAUUUUGCCAUCAUAAUCACUAAAUCAGAACCACCAAACCCUAACACACUCCCAAUUACCACCUUUUGCCUGGAUCGUACAACCCCGAGAUGUGAAAUGGCUGGCCCUCUACUUCGUGACAUUCUGCUUCAUAGCUCUCAAUUCCAAAACUUGCGGCGUUUUGUGGCCCGAAUCUCCGUGAAUGUGACGCCUCAUCGUUUAUUCUGUAGUCUCCCCACCAUUCCGAUUUCGGGACAAACAGGUGAGGAAGCAAGCUAUGCUGGUCAAAUCUCGAAGCUACAGGAUGACCCUGAUAAUGAGGAAUGGAAGGAUAAGGCAAAGGAGAUCGUCAACGACAUUGAUCCAAUCGUUAGGCUAGCCAAGGAUAUCCUUCACUCGGGAAGGUACAUGGUUGGAGAGCAAUUGACAGAUGAGGAUGAGAAAGUUGUGGUAGAGAAACUUCUUGUUUACCAUCCACAUUAUGAUGAUAAGAUUGGAUGCGGUCUUGCAUCAAUUAUGGUCGGAUGUCAUCCCGUGUUUAACUACUCAAAGUGUCUUUUUGUUGUAAGAACUGAUGGUGACAUGAUCGACUUCUCCUAUAAUAAGUGCCUUCAUGAGUACAUUAGAAAUAAGUACCCAUCUCAUGCAGAAAGGUUUAUUCAAGAACAUUUAAAGCAUAGUAGUGUUGGUGGCAGAGCUACACAUAAGUGAGUUUAUACCAACUAACCAAGAAAGAUAUAUUUCUAUGAUACCGCUCUGUAGUAUGUUGAAAAUGAUAUCGCCUCCUAUUGGUGGCACUGCCUGCUGGAGUGCUUGCCUCUGUUUCUACUCACAAUAAAAUCUAGAAAUACGGUGGUUCGUCAUCCCCAGUUUAGCUGAUCAAGGUUUGUUUUUGUUUUUAGAACUGACGGUGGCUGGAUCGACUUCUCUGAACAAAAGUGCCUUGGUGGGUUCUACAGAUCUCAUGCAGAAAGGUUUUUUUUUUUUUUUUUUUCCUUUUUCCUUUUUUUGGUAACAUUUAAAGCUUAGGAGCCGUUAACAUGUAUGUAUAUUUAGGUGUUGGAACUUGGUUACUCAUUUUGAUUUGUCAAUCUAUAAUAUUGUGGCUCAUUUCUUCGUUUUCUUGGCCCCCUUUGUUCAUUGCUCUGCCUAGUUUUAUUGAUUUGUCAAUGGUGGUUCAUAACUAUUAACCAGCAUAUCAAGCUUUUUCUCUAGGUGAACAUUCAGAAAAUGAUUGAAAUGAUAUUCCACUUUGUUUACUUGUGAAA